rnacentral:ncRNA from 1 species
CCAAUUUGUCAGGCCCCUCUCCUCCUCCCUGGGGUCUUUCAAUGGCAGCGGCGCCUCUCCUCCUCCCUGGCGCCGCUGCCCAAACCAGUUUCGGGCCCCUCUCCUCCUCCCUGGGGUUCCGUAG